rnacentral:rRNA from 1 species
UACGUAGGGUGCGAGCGUUAAUCGGAAUUACUGGGCGUAAAGCGUGCGCAGGCGGUUUGUUAAGUCUGAUGUGAAAUCCCCGGGCUUAACCUGGGAAUUGCACUUGUGACUGUGCGGCUGGAGUGCGGCAGAGGGGGAUGGAAUUCCGCGUGUAGCAGUGAAAUGCGUAGAUAUGCGGAGGAACACCGAUGGCGAAGGCAGUCCCCUGGGCCUGCACUGACGCUCAUGCACGAAAGCGUGGGGAGCAAACAGG